CGCAGCAGCUCGCCCCAUCACCCUCCGUCGCAGCAGCUCGCCUCGUCGCCCUCCGUCGCAGCAGCUCGCCUCGUCUCCCUCAGCUCUCCCUCCCCUGACUUCUCCACAUCUUCGCUGCCGUGCAUCUCCACAGACGCUUGCUCAAGAAAUGGCUGCAUUUGAAAUGACUUCACUGUAUGCUUGAUCAUGGCAGUUUGUUGCCCAGAUGUGGAGGACCCCUUUCGUCGCGAUGAUGCUUGCCGCCACCGCCUCUCUAGUCUACUAUGUCAUUGUUGUUUAGCUAGGUCGUCGACUGAACUUAUAUGUAUUUGUAUAAUAUGUGCUACUUCGAGUCGCGAUGUUUGAACCAUUUGGUCAACUAGCUACUAUCUAAACUUGUGUUAUUGAUGCAUGCAUGUUAUGAACAUUUGGGACUUUCUAUAUAACUGUGUAUCUGUGUAUCUGGCUGUAA